rnacentral:misc_RNA from 1 species
UACGUAGGGGGCGAGCGUUGUCCGGAAUUAUUGGGCGUAGAGGGCGUGCAGGCGGCUUCUUAAGUCUGAUGUGAAAGCCCGUGGCUUAACCACGGAGGUGCAUUGGAAACUGAGGAGCUUGAGUGCAGGAGAGGAGAGCGGAAUUCCACGUGUAGCGGUGAAAUGCGUAGAUAUGUGGAGGAACACCAGUGGCGAAAGCGGCUCUCUGGCCUGCGACUGACGCUGAGGCGCGAAAGCGUGGGGAGCGAACAGG